rnacentral:rRNA from 1 species
ACCUAUAGCCAGACCGGACUAAUUGCACCUGAUCCCGUCCAAUCUCGGAAGCUAAGCAGUCCCAGGCCCGUCUAGUACCUGGAUGGGAGACUGCCUGGGAAUUCUGGGUGUCGUAGGCC